GCGGGGAUAGCUCAGCUGGGAGAGCGUCAGACUGAAGUCCAACUUCGGGAAUAUACUAAGGUAUUCAUGAAUCUGAAGGCCGCGCGUUCGAUCCGCGCUCACCGCA
rnacentral:tRNA from 1 species